UAAGGAAUAUUGGUCAAUGGAGGCAACUCUGAACCAGCCAUGCCGCGUGCAGGAUGAAGGUCCUCUGGAUUGUAAACUGCUUUUAUCAGGGAAGAAACCACCUAUUUCUAUGGGUGUUGACGGUACCUGAGGAAUAAGCACCGGCUAACUCCGUGCCAGCAGCCGCGGUAAUACGGAGGGUGCAAGCGUUAUCCGGAUUUACUGGGUUUAAAGGGUGCGUAGGCGGGCCUUUAAGUCAGUGGUGAAAACU
rnacentral:rRNA from 1 species